rnacentral:rRNA from 1 species
CCCUUAGAUGUUCUGGGCCGCACGCGUGCUACACUGAGUGGAUCAGCGGGUCGGGUUACGCGAGAGCGUUUCCUAAUCUUCAAAUCCGCUCGUGAUGGGGAUUGACGGUUGCAAUUUUCCGUCAUGAACGAGGAAUACCUUGUAAGCGCGGGUCAUCAUCCCGCGCUGAAUACGUCCCUGCCCUUUGUACACACCGCCCGUCGCUCCUACCGAUUGAGUGGUCCGGUGAGGCUUUGGGAUCUAAGCGAAAAGAGCGUUUCGCUCCUUUUGCUGGGAGAACUCAGUCGAACCUUAUCAUUUAGAGGAAGGAGAAGUCGUAACA